CCCCGGCGAGGGGAGUGAAAAAGAACCUGAAACCGUGUACGUACAAGCAGUGGGAGCCUCUUAAUGGGGUGACUGCGUACCUUUUGUAUAAUGGGUCAGCGACUUAUAUUCUGUAGCAAGGUUAACCGAAUAGGGGAGCCGAAGGGAAACCGAGUCUUAACUGGGCGUUAAGUUGCAGGGUAUAGACCCGAAACCCGGUGAUCUAGCCAUGGGCAGGUUGAAGGUUGGGUAACACUAACUGGAGGACCGAACCGACUAAUGUUGAAAAAUUAGCGGAUGACUUGUGGCUGGGGGUGAAAGGCCAAUCAAACCGGGAGAUAGCUGGUUCUCCCCGAAAGCUAUUUAGGUAGCGCCUCGUGAAUUCAUCUCCGGGGGUAGAGCACUGUUUCGGCAAGGGGGUCAUCCCGACUUACCAACCCGAUGCAAACUGCGAAUACCGGAGAAUGUUAUCACGGGAGACACACGGCGGGUGCUAACGUCCGUCGUGAAGAGGGAAACAACCCAGACCGCCAGCUAAGGUCCCAAAGUCAUGGUUAAGUGGGAAACGAUGUGGGAAGGCCCAGACAGCCAGGAUGUUGGCUUAGAAGCAGCCAUCAUUUAAAGAAAGCGUAAUAGCUCACUGGUCGAGUCGGCCUGCGCGGAAGAUGUAACGGGGCUAAACCAUGCACCGAAGCUGCGGCAGCGACACUAUGUGUUGUUGGGUAGGGGAGCGUUCUGUAAGCCUGUGAAGGUGGCCUGUGAGGGUUGCUGGAGGUAUCAGAAGUGCGAAUGCUGACAUAAGUAACGAUAAAGCGGGUGAAAAGCCCGCUCGCCGGAAGACCAAGGGUUCCUGUCCAACGUUAAUCGGGGCAGGGUGAGUCGACCCCUAAGGCGAGGCCGAAAGGCGUAGUCGAUGGGAAACAGGUUAAUAUUCCUGUACUUGGUGUUACUGCGAAGGGGGGACGGAGAAGGCUAUGUUGGCCGGGCGACGGUUGUCCCGGUUUAAGCGUGUAGGCUGGUUUUCCAGGCAAAUCCGGAAAACCAAGGCUGAGGCGUGAUGA
rnacentral:rRNA from 1 species